rnacentral:rRNA from 1 species
UACGGAGGGUGCAAGCGUUAAUCGGAAUUACUGGGCGUAAAGCGCACGCAGGCGGCUGAGUCAGUCGAUUGUGAAAGCCCUGGGCUUAACCUGGGAAUUGCAGUCGAUACUACUCAGCUAGAGUAUGGGAGAGGGUAGUGGAAUUCCCGGUGUAGCGGUGAAAUGCGUAGAUAUCGGGAGGAACAUCAGUGGCGAAGGCAGCUACCUGGCCAAAUACUGACACUCAGGUGCGACAGCGUGGGAGCAAACAGG